UUUUACCCUUACCACUUCAACGCAUCUACAACUAUGCCAUUAUCUUUUGAUUCCUUCCAAUUUUACCCCUCAUAUCAAUUUUAAAGGACUAUUCUAUCCAUUUUUAUAUUAAAAAAAAAUAAUUAGGGUUAUUACAUCCUUCCCUCCUUAUAUAAAAUUCGUCCUCGAAUUUAAAAGAGUAAAUUACCUGAUUACUCAAAGAGGUGAGGGUAUUUGCUCUUCAUACUUUGCUCCGACUCCCAAGUGCAUUCUUCAACAUUGUGCCGGUGCCAUUGGACCUUUACCAUACAUAUUUUCUUAUUUCUCAGCUUCCUGAUCUGAGUAUCAAGAAUAGCGACAGGAAGUUCUUCGUAAGAAAGAUCUUCUUCUACUAUAACUUCCUGCACUGAUAGCACAUGAGAUGGAUCCGACACAUACUUCCGGAGCAUAGAUAUGUGG
rnacentral:lncRNA from 1 species